CUCGAAGUAGACUUCCGCAAGGACCUCUGUAGAGGUGCUGCAUGGCUGUCGUCAGCUCGUGUCGUGAGAUGUUGGGUUAAGUCCCGCAACGAGCGCAACCCUUGUCUUCUGUUGCCAUCGGGUUAUGCCGGGCACUCUGAAGAGACUGCCGGUGACAAACCGGAGGAAGGUGGGGAUGACGUCAAGUCAGCAUGGCCUUUAUGUCUGGGGCCACACACGUGCUACAAUGGCCGGUACAAACCGUCGCGAGCCCGCGAGGGGGAGCUAAUCGGAGAAAGCCGGUCUCAGUUCGGAUUGUAGGCUGCAACUCGCCUGCAUGAAGUUGGAAUCGCUAGUAAUCACGGAUCAGCACGCCGUGGUGAAUACGUUCCCGGGCCUUGUACACACCGCCCGUCACGUCACGAAAGCUGGCUGUACUAGAAGUAGCUGAGCCAACCCGCAAGGGAGGCAAGUUCCUAAGGUAUGGUCAGUGAUUGGGGUGAAGUCGUAACAAGGUAGCCGU
rnacentral:rRNA from 1 species